AACGAACGCUGGCGGCAUGCCUAACACAUGCAAGUCGAACGAAGCCUUCGGGCUUAGUGGCGCACGGGUGCGUAACGCGUGGGAACCUGCCUUUCGGUUCGGAAUAACAGUUAGAAAUGACUGCUAAUACCGGAUGAUGUCUUCGGACCAAAGAUUUAUCGCCGAAAGAUGGGCCCGCGUAGGAUUAGCUAGUUGGUGGGGUAAAGGCUCACCAAGGCGACGAUCCUUAGCUGGUCUGAGAGGAUGAUCAGCCACACUGGGACUGAGACACGGCCCAGACUCCUACGGGAGGCAGCAGUGGGGAAUAUUGGACAAUGGGCGAAAGCCUGAUCCAGCAAUGCCGCGUGAGUGAUGAAGGCCUUAGGGUUGUAAAGCUCUUUUACCAGGGAUGAUAAUGACAGUAUCCGGAGAAGAAGCCCCGGCUAACUUCGUGCCAGCCGCCGCCGUAAAAC
rnacentral:rRNA from 1 species